UACGUAGGUGGCAAGCGUUGUCCGGAUUUAUUGGGUUUAAAGGGUGCGUAGGCUGGCUUAUUAAGUCAGUGGUGAAAUACUCUAGCUCAACUAGAGGGGUGCCAUUGAUACUGAUGAGCUUGAGUACAGAUGAGGUAGGCGGAAUUGACGGUGUAGCGGUGAAAUGCUUAGAUAUCGUCAAGAACACCUAUAGCGAAGGCAGCUUACUAGGCUGUAACUGACGCUGAGGCACGAAAGUGUGGGGAUCAAACAGG
rnacentral:rRNA from 1 species